UACGUAGGGGGCUAGCGUUGUCCGGAAUCAUUGGGCGUAAAGCGCGUGUAGGCGGUUCGGUAAGUCCGCUGUGAAAGUCGGGGGCUCAACCCUCGAAUGCCGGUGGAUACUGUCGGACUAGAGUACGGAAGAGGCGAGUGGAAUUCCUGGUGUAGCGGUGAAAUGCGCAGAUAUCGGGAGGAACACCAAUGGCGAAGGGCAGCUCGCUGGGACGGUACUGACGCUGAGACGCGAAAGCGUGGGGAGGCAAACAGGG
rnacentral:rRNA from 1 species